UUGCUGAAGUACAAUGCGUACCUCUCCCCCCGAGAUUUAUUGAGAGCGGUGAAGUGAACAUAGUGCAAGUUACAUAAGAUUAAUAGCGUUUCAAUGGUAUCACCUGUUUUCCAGCUUUCAGACUGUAUGGACACUCCCUGGAUAGGUCAUCCUUCCACAGUGAGGUGGUACAAGGCGUGGCUGGAGUUUUGCAACCUGGAGGCGGAUACGAGUCUAAUUUCCAUUCGCUCUAAGGUCCUGUGCUCCCAGCACUUCGCACCAGUUGCUUAUUUGCGCACAGGAAGGCUUCGGUGGGAUGCAGUUCCUACAUUGAAGCGCACACUGCAUGGCGUUGGAGGAAGUAGUGCCUACGCCAAUCAGAGCAGACUUGAAAGCAGUGGGCCUUCAACGGAGGAACGUGUGCAAGCUGUGGUAGCCUGCGAUGACGACAGUACAGGAGCAAUACAC